GACGAACGCUGGCGGCGUGCUUAACACAUGCAAGUCGAACGGAAAGGCCCUGCUUUUGUGGGGUGCUCGAGUGGCGAACGGGUGAGUAACACGUGAGUAACCUGCCCUUGACUUUGGGAUAACUUCAGGAAACUGGGGCUAAUACCGGAUAGGAGCUCCUGCUGCAUGGUGGGGGUUGGAAAGUUUCGGCGGUUGGGGAUGGACUCGCGGCUUAUCAGCUUGUUGGUGGGGUAGUGGCUUACCAAGGCUUUGACGGGUAGCCGGCCUGAGAGGGUGACCGGCCACAUUGGGACUGAGAUACGGCCCAGACUCCUACGGGAGGCAGCAGGGGGGAAUAUUGCACAAUGGGCGGAAGCCUGAUGCAGCAACGCCGCGUGCGGGAUGACGGCCUUCGGGUUGUAACCGCUUUCGCCUGUGACGAAGCGUGAGUGACGGUAAUGGGUAAAGAAGCACCGGCUAACUACGUG
rnacentral:rRNA from 1 species